UACAGAGGGUGCGAGCGUUGUCCGGAAUCACUGGGCGUAAAGGGCGCGUAGGUGGUCUGGUAAGCGUGCGGUGAAAUCGCGGGGCUCAACCCCGCGCCGGCCGUGCGAACUGCUGGACUGGAGCACUGUAGAGGCGGGUGGAAUUCCGGGUGUAGCGGUGGAAUGCGUAGAGAUCCGGAAGAACACCGGUGGCGAAGGCGGCCCGUUGGGCAGUGGCUGACACUGAGGCGCGACAGCGUGGGGAGCAAACAGG
rnacentral:rRNA from 1 species